GACGAACGCUGGCGGCGUGCUUAACACAUGCAAGUCGAACGAGAGGACAAGAGAAGCUUGCUUCUUUUGGAAUCGAGUGGCAAACGGGUGAGUAACACGUAAACAACCUGCCUUCAGGAUGGGGACAACAGACGGAAACGACUGCUAAUACCGAAUACGCUUGGAAGACCGCAUGAUUUUCCAAGGAAAGGGUGGCCUCUACCUGUAAGCUAUCGCCUGAAGAGGGGUUUGCGUCUGAUUAGGCAGUUGGUGAGGUAACGGCCCACCAAACCUACGAUCAGUAGCCGGUCUGAGAGGAUGAACGGCCACACUGGAACUGAGACACGGUCCAGACUCCUACGGAGGCAGCAGUGGGGAAUCUUCCGCAAUGGGCGAAAGCCUGACGGAGCAACGCCGCGUGAGUGAUGACGGCCUCGGUUGU
rnacentral:rRNA from 1 species